rnacentral:tRNA from 1 species
UCCCUGAUGGUGCAGUGGAUGGGCAUCUGCCUGCCAAUGCAGGGGACACAGGUUCGAUUCCUGGUCUGGGAA